GGUUGAUCCUGCCAGUAGUCAUAUGCUUGUCUCAAAGAUUAAGCCAUGCAUGUCUAAGUAUAAACGAGAUCAUACAGUGAGACUGCGGAUGGCUCAUUAAAUCAGUUAUAGUUUAUUUGAUGGUUCCUUUUUCACCACUUGGAUAACCGUGGUAAUCCUAGAGCUAAUACAUGCACAAAACCUCAACUGGGGGAGGAGUGUUCUUUUAGCUUCCGAGCAGCAAUGUUAGGUUGUUAAAAGAGCACUUCAUAAGCUCCCGGAAGAGGCGUAUUUAUUAGGUACAAAACCGGCG
rnacentral:rRNA from 1 species